GGGAGGGGGGGGUGGUGGGGUGCGGAUUAGCCCCGAGGGAUUCUCUGGCCAUUGAGCUGCCGCUGAUUUGCGCAGCUAGUUGCCUGGGGGUGAUAAACCGGCUCCAGCUCGCUCCUGGAGCGCUUACACUACCAAGCCCUUCCGAGCAAGAUCGAGAAAGGAUGCGCUUUCGUGAGAACUUGGCUCAGCCUUUCCGUGGACCCAGAGAAGGGCUUUAGGAUAAAUCGGAUUGUGUAGCCGGCUAAAGGGGACAAAGCAGAACCAUGACUUAAGGAGGAGACAGCCUCGUUUUUAUCCAGUGUUGAAAUAAGGUCCUGGUUCAUCCCCCCUCCAAUCCUAUUUCCAAAGCACUACACCAGCAAAGGCUUAGUUGUAAAAAAAAAAAAAAAAAAAAGGCAAUUCAUGGUGAAAGGAAAAACGCACUGGAAGACAAGAGGAUGCCAAUGAAGCAGACGGUGGUGGAGACUUUUUCCUAAGCUUAUUAAUUUCCCACUGGGAGCUCUGUGGAAGGGGCUGUGAGGGUUGGGGGAGGUAGAGAAUGGAACUUCAUUCUCUGGGGUAUUGCACUGCCUAGCCUCACCGUGGAGAAUAAGGAACUUUCUAAGGGAUAACUUAGAGGCAAGAAGAGGCCGAUUUGCUGAGCUGGAUGAAGGUUUACAGGGAUGGGGGGAGCUUUGCUUCUUAUAAAUAUACACGGCAAUUUC